UACAGAGGUCUCAAGCGUUGUUCGGAAUCAUUGGGCGUAAAGCGCACGUAGGUGGCUUUGCAAGUCAGGUGUGAAAGCCUGGGGCUUAACCCCAGAAGUGCACUUGAAACUGCUUAGCUUGAGUACGGGAGAGGUGAGUGGAAUUCCUGGUGUAGUGGUGAAAUACGUAGAUAUCAGGAGGAACAUCGGUGGCGAAGGCGGCUCACUGGCCCAGUACUGACACUGAGGUGCGAAAGCAUGGGGAUCAAACAGG
rnacentral:rRNA from 1 species